rnacentral:pre_miRNA from 1 species
UCAGUAACAAGGAUUCAUCCUGUUGUCAUAUUCUAAACCAGCAGGGAAUCUCUGUUACUGG